UCCCUCUCAGGAUCACACGUGGAGAGUUUCAAGUACUCUACCAGUCUGAGCUACAAGAGGGAGAGUCAAGCAGAGGCCUACCUAUUCCAUUCUUAGCUUGGGCAGUGGCUAGCGAGUGGAAGGUGAUCUGCUACAAGU